GAUGAAUGCUGGCGGCGUGCCUAACACAUGCAAGUCGAGCGGCGGCGCGAGUAGUUUACUACUUGGCGGCGAGCGGCGGACGGCUGAGUAACGCGUGGGAACAUACCCCAAAGUGAGGGAUAACUGCCCGAAAGGGUGGCUAAUACCGCAUAUGAUCUUAGGAUUAAAGGACUUAUCCGCUUUGGGAGUGGCCUGCGUACGAUUAGAUAGUUGGUGAGGUAAUGGCUCACCAAGUCGACGAUCGUUAGCUGGUCUGAGAGGAUGACCAGCCAGACUGGAACUGAGACACGGUCCAGACUCCUACGGGAGGCAGCAGUGAGGAAUCUUCCACAAUGGGCGAAAGCCUGAUGGAGCAACGCCGCGUGAAGGAUGAAGGCCCUCGGGUUGUAAACUUCUUUUAUAAGUGAAGAAUAUGACGGUAACUUAUGAAUAAGCACCGGCUAACUACGUGCCAGCAGCCGCGGUAA
rnacentral:rRNA from 1 species